rnacentral:miRNA from 1 species
UCUAACUGUAUAAUUCCUGUCCC